AGCGCGCUGCACUGUGGUCUUCUCUCCCAUUCUUGGGUAAGUAAUAAACCAAAACCUAAAAAAAUUCCUCUCAGAGGAGCUAAGGGCUCCCUGAAUCCCAACAUUACAAGACCUUUAAGAGGUAAUUAGAUCAUGAGGACUCUGCCUUCUUAAAUGGAUUAAUACCAUUAUCAAUGAAGUGGGUUCAUUAUCAUGAGAGUGGAUUUGCUAUAAAAGUGAAUUUGGUUCCCUCUUGCUCUUUCUCCUGCACAUGUGAUGUCUCUCUAUGUGAUACUUCCUGCCAUGUUAUGUUGCAGGGAGAAGACUCUCACCAGAUGCAACCCCUCUAACUUAGACUUCCCAGCCUCCAGAAGGCAGACAAAAGCUGACUCAGAGCCUCAGCUGGGUGGUUGCCCCCACCCUGGGGAGCCCAAGGGGAGGCACCCCCUGAGAUGUUCCAGGGCCCCAGGGUUCAGGCCCCGUGGCGACUGUGUAACCGUGGCUGUCAACAUUCACCUAAAAUUCUUCAGGGUCCUGGAAA
rnacentral:lncRNA from 1 species